AUAAUAAGAAUAAUUUGUCUUUAUUGCCAACAGGUACAGUGAGAAGAGUACAAAUGUUAUUAAAUUUAAUUGGGAUAUUACAACUCAAAUGAGUAUUUUAGAUGAAUUGGAGAUGAGAUAUGAUAGAUGCUUCAUCUAGAGUUUCCUGAGGGACUUUGGACCAGAUAACAAAACCAUGUGACUUGCGAUAAGGACGAAACGGCGAGGUAUCGAGCCCUGUAUAAACACAGACUUAGUAAAAGUUUAUGCAAAUUACUAUUUAUGGUAUUUGAUACGCUCCUGAAUAGAGAGUUUAUGGAUGAGAUUAUAUUGCAAGUCGCGUGAUUUUAUUACCGGAGCUCAUCGUUUCGCUGGAUAAAAUAUAGAUUAUAUUCAGAUGUACACGUAAAAAUGAAUGGAACAGUCGUUAGAAUUUAUCUGGAAAUUCGUAUACAUGCUCGAGGUUGACAGCGCCGAGAGUCCGCUGCGAUUCCACAGGCUUUAUCGCAAAAAGGGAAUGAUUAAACAUAGCUUGGAAACAUCAACAGCCCCUUUUUUAGAUUUCGCAAAGAUCGAGAAUUUAUCAUUUCGCAGGAUGACAUAUUUCGUAUUUGAAAAUAAAGGAAAGAUUAGUCGGGUAAGUGUCGCCAUCUGGUGGUCGGGUCGAAAAAAGACGACGAGAUUUUGUGACAUCUUCACGUGAUAGAAAGGA